AAAGGGACCGGCAGCUGGCCUAAAUGAGGCUGACCUACCUUGGCCUCAAAGAGCCAAAAUCUCACAGCUAAGAGCCUGCCCUACAUGAGGAAGCCGAGACAAGAGUAAGAAUUCAGCCAAUGAUUACGGCAAGUCUACACUACAAAAUUAAGUCUACCUAAUUUACGUUGACUUAUAGCCAUUGCAGUAAUUAAACUGCUUUUGCUCCUUGUGUCAGCGGUGCCCAUCCUCACCAGGAGUGCUUGCACCAAUUUAACUGCCAGCGUGGGGCAUUGUGGGACGGCUUCUGAAAGGCAGCAACAGUUGAUAAGAACUACCAAUAAAUAGAAACUUCUGACGCAGAUGCUGGCUGGCACAUUAAAAGGAAUGUAUCCCUUCUCUCAGGAAAUCUUCUAAAGCAGUACUGCAAAUCUGAGGUUUAAGAACACACCAACCUCAGCCCACUUUCACUCUGCUCCUAGGUGCUGGCAAGAGCCACAGGGAAUAUACUGAAAGUAUGUUUCAGCCAGGGCUACUCUACAAUAAGCACACAUACCUAAGGAAUGAUGAAUAGGGGUUGAGAGACCUUUGAGAAAACAGACUCUGGGCUGGCUGCAAGGAGCACAUCUACCAGCUGGAGGCACCAAGGAGUGGAGAUGGACACCAGACUCUAUUCUGAAAGAAAGAGCUCACCAAAACCCUUUUCAGCUAGGUCUGCAGAGACAUGUGAAAUGGCUUGUUCAUCUCAGUAGGAUGUGCUCAGAUGAAUCACAACAUGCCACAGAGAUUAAUACAAUCUGACAAUAGUUCUGAAAGGUGUCAGAUGACCCAUUUAACUUAAUGGGUGUUCUUCUCCCCAUCAUGAAGUCUUCCCCAGCCCUUUUUGUAGGUAUCCGUUUUCAUAUGCACAGUGAGAUGUUGAAAAUUAAAAGAAGCUCAAUGUGA